ensembl:snRNA U6 U6 spliceosomal RNA
GUGUUCACUUUGGCAACACAUAUACUAAAAUUGGAACGAUACAGAGAAGAUUAGCAUGGCCCCUGCGCAAGGAAGACACGCAAAUUCAUAAAGGACCACCCAGGCAAA